CCCCUAGAUGUUCUGGGCCGCACGCGCGCUACACUGAACAGUUCAACAAGUCUUAAGCUUGGCCGAUAGGUCUGGGUAAUCUUUGAACGCUGUUCGUGAUUGGGAUAGACCUUUGCAAUUAUGGGUCUUCAACGAGGAAUUCCUAGUAAACGCAAGUCAUCAGCUUGCAUUGAUUACGUCCCUGCCCUUUGUACACACCGCCCGUCGCACCUACCGAUUGAAUGGUCCGGUGAAAUCUCGGGACGGCGGCUUGGUCGCUUGCGUCCGACUGCUGAAACUUGAUUAAACCAUAUCAUUUAGAGGAAGGUGAAGUCGUANCA
rnacentral:rRNA from 1 species